CUCAGGGUCAUCUCUGGCUAUAUAUCAAGUUUGUGGCCAGCCUGGACAUGAGACUCUAUCUCAAAAAACUAAAAUUAAAUUUAAAAUUAAAAUAAAAAAAAGGUAACCUCUAGGCAGUUCUUAGCAGAGUGUCUGGCAGAUUAUAAACCUAAACAUGAAAGCUAGUAUUCAUGAGUAUUAGGUCCCAGGACUUCCUAGUGGAGACAUCUGGAUAGAGUCGGAAGAAGCAGGUCAUUAGGCUGGGAAGGCUUGAAAAAGCCACCGGUUGCUUGGUUCCUCAGCUUAUAGUGGCAUCUAAGAGCCCAGGCUGGAAAAUGAAGCUGACUUGGGGCAAAGACUCUCCUACCCUUUUCUCUGCAGGAAGUCUUGGGCAAGUCGAUUAACUUUGCCUGCUUCCAUUCCUGCAUCUGUAAAAUGGGCACCCAUUCCUCUAUCCAUAAAUUGGGCACACUGGUACCUCAGUAGUUAGGUUAGGCAUGGGUAUAUUUAAAGUACCCACACAGGGUGGAAAGUCACAUAUAAAAUCAGCCUAGCAGCCAGUGAAGCUAGAGACCAUUCCCAGGGUUGGCUUUAAGUAAGAGUCUUUUGUGACUCUUUCAGAUUUCUGGGCCUCAUUGCAAGUUCCUUGGGGAAUAUUAUUUUAUUCAGGAGCUCAAACUCAAUAGGACAUGUCGGAGGCCAGUGGGGCCCGGGCUGCAGAGGGAGGGGCAGGAACCCGGCCUGCUUUGGCCUAGAGUAUUCCUGUGUCCAUGUUAUCAGCUACCUCAGAACACACAAAGCAGCUUCUCUUGUAGAGUGGUUACUGUUUGACCCAUGCAUGUCUCUUUGAACUCGUUUGGCAACAUCUCUCUGAAGCACUGGGGCAGCUAGAGUUUGGAAUUUAAAAGUCAAACAUGCCUCCAGAGAGUUCUCCUGGGUGGCUUGCCAGGAUUCCCUUUAACUCCUGGGGACCGAGGAGUGUCCUUUUUUUUUUUUUUUUUUUUAACCCCUUACAGACAGCUCUGGCCCUGGUCCUUGUAGAAUUACCCCAUUCUUGUGGCUGCCAGGCUGACUGGCAAUCAGGUUCGUCACUGUGGUGUACCAGCUGCCCUGGGUGGCCGCUGACUUCUGGGAUGGAGCUGUGAAGGAGUUAUUCCACCAGGGCUGUCCCUUGCUUCACUGGGUACUUCCCGUCCCUUGGAGCUCUGAGGCCUGGGACCGCCCUGGGGAAGGCAAAGCAGUGUGUUCUGGUAUAUGAAUAAGAAACACUCCAAUGGCUGCUGUGUGCUCCGUGCUCAGACUCAGCGCUGCAGACUUCACAUUCAUGCUCUCUUUUGACCAUUAAGGCAACACUGCACACUCAAGAAGUCUCUCAAAUCAUGGAGAAGCUACUAAGUAGCAAGCACUCUGUGGGGACACGUGAAUGGCAGUCUUAAUAAAUUAUAGCCAUGACCUUCAGAGAGUCAUAGUCUUUUAAGAUUGAUUUUUUUAUUAUUUGUGUGGGAGAAGAAGAGGAGGAACCCCUGAGAACGGGAAUUAUUCAUUGGCUGUGCGCAGUCUAACAUAGGUGAAGGACAUGAAAUUCAGGUCAUCUGCAAGAGCAGUAAGUGCUCUUAGCUCUCUCUCCAGCUCUAAGGAGCCACGUUCUUACCUUAGUCCUCCACCUCUGGGGACUGGACCUGUGUUUUAACUGCAAGGUUAGAAUGCCAGGUCCCACAUUUGCUUGCCCUGUGACGUGUGACAACUGGCGAUCAUCACUGCAUUUGCCUUUGAGAACUGUUAAGAUGAAAUCAGACCAAUGUUGGGAGUAACGGCCAGUUCUGAAAACUUAAUCACUGUUAGCCAUGUAUAAAGGCUUAAAAGCUCUGGGACAAUUUUUCGCAAGGUAGGGCAUGAAUUUAUAUUUAGCUAUUCAUUUCUCAGGAGGAAGGGGCAUCAACCUGAGAACCAGGUGAUGCCUGGCUGUGUCGACCUGACAGAGUUAACUGUCACAGCGUCUGGCAAGGUAGGAACAGUGACCAGCAAAGGAAUUAUUCUGUGAAGACAGGCAGGGUUGCAUGUGAGUUCUCUGGCACUAAGGCUGGCACACUGCUUAAGCCUUUCAGAGCUGAGCCAGGCAGGCUCCGCUAAUCAGAAAACAGGAAAUGUCCGUAAGAAUGUCUACAGCCGUGUGUUCCAAAGUGUUCUGCUUUUGAGUUCGUUGUUUUGUUCUGGGAUGAAAGUGCUUAGUUCCUUUCCAAAGGAAGGAACUGCUAUCUUAAUAACUGUAGAGGUGGCAGCCUACUGAUGUAGGUGAUGGGGAGACAAGAGAGGGCACUUCCCGUCAUUUAAUCUGAUGUCCAGAGCCUGCAACUCUGACCUUUGAUAGGAAGAAAGCAGGUAAAAUAUACCGAAUAGAAUAAAUAUUUGCCUGUGGCUACUGAUAAGAAAAUAUUUUUCUUCUUUUUCUUUCUUUUUUUUUUUUGGACUGAUGUGUUUAUGUUUGAGAGUAGGAUUUUGGUAAAAUACAAUGUAUUUACCUUUUGAUACAAAUCAGAACCUCCGCCUUGGAAGAGAUCAGCUGAGUUUCUCCAGAAGGGGAGGAGCUGGCGCUCAUUCUUUCCUUUUUCCUGGUUUGCUGGGAAGUUAGGAGAGGGCCUGGGUUACAUAUAAGGUCUUUGAAUCAGACUAUGCCUGGCUAGAGGGCGUCUUCCUAGCUCUGUGAUCUUGGAUAGAGUUCAUGAAAGGACACAAUAAAAGCCCAGCGAUGCCUGGCUCUCACGGAGCCUGUCUCCCACCCCAAGGUGACGCCUUCAGCAUGUGUGUCAUGUGAGCAGCCUGGAAUCUACUGAAGUUCCAGGUGAAUGCCUCCACCUGGGCUGUGGUCAGCCACCGGCCUUCUGUUCUGCUUCACAGGCAUCCUUUGUUCUCAGCAUCUGCCCUGGUCACGUGCUCAGCAGCAUACGUUCGAUGUUUUGGGGUAGCUUGGUUUUCCUUGGCAGAUUACUAACUUCUGAAAAGUCUUUCAGGCUGGCUUCUAACACCUUAGUUCCUUCAUUGGCUUGUACCAGCCAGAUGAAGGUUAGCGUGGAAUCCAAGGCUUUGCAUCAUGUCUAGCCAUAGCCGUCCCACACAGUUUUUACCUCCUUUCUUGGCCCUUUGCCUCCAGGCAACUGUGCUGUGACUGAUGCCCACCCCCUAGCUGGCCUUGCCACUUCUUCAAGAGAGCAGUCCUUCAAUUCCACCUUGUCAAUCAACCUUGACUUUGCCUCUUCUUCCUCUGUGAGGUCUUUUCCAGUACCCAAACUUGACAUCACCUUUCUUCCCCUCCCCCCGAAUUUGCAUGUUCUGUAUUCCUCCAAUGGCAACUAAAAUCACCCUUUUCUAGUUAAGUACCUCUUGACACACCCUCACUAGACCACUUGAGGACCAAGAGCUCUUACAGGCAAGUGAUCAUGUAUCUCUCUCAGUGUUCAGCUCUCUCACGUGUCAUGCCUGGCACGUGGUAGUUUUAAAAAUAUUUGUUAUGUGGAGGAUUGAAGGCAUUCAUAAAGUUUGUGAAAGAUCUCCCUUAGAAGACCAUGGCUAUGAGGUGGCUUAGCCUGAGCCGGCCGGUUACUUCUCCCAUUAUUUCUCUUCCCCUAGGAGGGAAGCUU
rnacentral:lncRNA from 1 species